UUUUACUUUUUCCCUUGACCUCCCCAUUGCCCCAAUUUCCCUCUUCCUUUCUCACAACCCUCACGACGCCAUACCUUCUUCUCGCAAGUCACCCAUGCCGAACACCGUCGAAUUAUCGAGGGAAUAACGAUUUUUUUAGAUGGGUCAGUGGUUGAUAUGAUGUGGGAUAUUUACAAUUGGCUAUUCUGACCGGAAUCUACAGCAGGGGCGGCGUUCAUGUUUAGGAAGAGAAGUGGAUUGGACAAUCGACUGUGGCUGGAGGAGAAGAUGAAGCAAGAGAAGCUUGGCUUUUCUUUGUUGAUUCGAGCUUGUAAGAAUAAUCCUUCCUCAUUCAUAAUUUCAUAAUUUGGUUUUGAGAAAAUAACAAAGAAAUUUUUUUUUCAUAUAAUAUAAAAAAAAUUCAUAUAAUAUUUCUAUUUUUUAUUAUUAUUAUUAUUUCUUUUUAUUUUUUUGUGAUUUUUAGUUUAGAUUAUUUGAUUCUCUCUUUGAAGUUACUUGGAAGAAAAAUGAUUCUGUAGGAACUUUGACAACUUUGAACUUUAAGUUUAACAAGAAGCAGUACAUUAUUGCUUUCAGCAAGAAGCAUCUAAAGUUGAGCCUUGUUAGCUAAAUCAAAUUUGUCCUCUUCUGUUGUAUAUUUUAUUUAUGUUUUUUACAACAAUAUGUGAUCUAUGAUGAAAGCAAUUAUCUUCACUUAUAUAACAGAAUUUUCUUUCUUUCUUUAUUGAACGCUGAAACACGAUUAUAAAGAAAAUGUUGUCCAAAAGAUUGAAGUUUGGAAUUGAAUUGAAUCGAAUUUAAUGAUGAGUAGGAAUUAUUAGGUGUGUGUUUAUUUUUCUUCUUCUUCUCUGCUGUGUUGUUUUGUAUUAUGAUGGAUUGUGAUAUCAAUUUUUCCAUUUAAAUUCAUCUCUUGGCCUGAGGAAGAAUGUCUUAUUCUUUGUGAUAACCAAAACAUUGUAGGUUGUUGUUAAUGUUGAUGUUUUCUGUAUGCUCUUAAACUGUUUGAUGAAAUGUCUAAAAUAGAGUUAGAGUUGAAGUUCGACACAUUUGUGUCAUUAUAAAGUUGGGUGGUUUUCUCGUAUGUGUUUGUUUCUUUGCUUGGUUGUUAAAACCCUAAAUUUUUUCAAUAAAGAAAAUAUUGAGUAAGUGUCCGUUACUCAAUAUCAGUUUCUGCCCACUAACUGAGCAAGAUAUUCAAAAAAGGAAUAGUUUGGUAAUGUUCCUUUUAUUUUACAUUUCUUUUAGAACUUCUCUUUAAAAUUUUCAAGUCACUAAGAGCUGUUGAUGUCUUUUGAACUCUGGUGAAAUAUUCAUAUUUUAAGAAGCAGGUUUUUUAAUGCAGACAAAUUCCCCAUUAAUGAAGGUUGGCAUAAUGUGAGUGAAAUGAACUUCUUGAGCUCAAUUGCAAAACUUCUUUUUUUCUUUUCUUUUUCUUUCACCUAAUUUCUUGAUUUCAAUUAUAUGUAGUGCACAUUAAGUGUUUGAGAAUGACAUUGUGAUAUAAAACUUAGGUUUAUACUUCCUGAGCAUUACCCAAUGGAAGCCCCAUAGGUUUAUACAUAAUCCAUCCUACCUUAAGGCUUGAGAUCAUGUCUACUGUAUUGUGUUUGAUUUUGGCUGCAGGUUAUAUUUCUGCAUUCAGCUCCUUUGCUUCCUCAUAUCUAUAGCCAUGUCACAUUUGUCUAGCAAACAUAUCAAAAGAACUAGUGGGCGAUCCUUUGACUGUCGAAGAGCUAUAGGAGGAGCGACUAUUAGAGGAAGAAUUUUCUUCAUGAAGUCCCGGAGAUUUCAGUACAUUUAUUAGAGCUUGUGAGAAAUAUGGGCAUAAUGAUAUAAAAAGUAUUGCUUCAAAGAUGGAAGGAAAAACGAAAGAAGAAGUUGAGUGAUAUGCAAAGGUCUUCAAGGAGAAAGACAAAGAGUUAAAUGGAAGCAAAGAACAAAUGGAUCGAUGAAGAUGAUAAAAAGGAGAUAAUUCAAUGAAUAGUGGUUUGAUUACUUGAUGAUGAUGUUGGAUAUUGGUUCUACGCUGAUGAAAAAGCUAAGCGAUUGGGUUGAAAGCUAAGGGAUCGUUGAAGGUUGAAGACUGUGAAGGCAUGCGUUAGAUGAGGUGCGGGUUGAGUUGGCUGAUUUUUUGGGCUCGUACUUAUGAUUGCGACUUAUUUAUUAUUCUGAAGCAGGAAACUUUUUGUUGUGGCUGAUUUUUAAAAUUGUUUAUAUGGAGGGGGGUUGAUUGGUAUACUUUUAAGACUUCGUUGUAGUAGCCAUUUUGAAAUUUUGUUGAUAGGUUAUUUGUUCAUAGGUGAAUUGUUCAUAGGUGAAUUGUUCAUAUGGGGGGAUGAUAGGUGAAUUGUUCAUAAGAGUUGAAUUGUUUUGAAACUCUGAUGGAAUUGUAUAUUGGUUUUGUAAAUGAUAGGAAUAUUUGCAAAGUUUUGGAAAUGAUAUGGUGAAAGAUUUUAUAUUUUA